GGUGGUGUUUGUGUUUCUUAGGCUUUAGUUCUCUAUGAUGUGCCUUGUGCGCUGUUGUUCUUAUUUUGCCAUGCCAUUGUCAUAGUAUAAGAUUUAGAGGAUGUGGUAUAAGUGUUUAUGAGGUUUGUUUUCAGUUUGUUUUUCGACUUUUGAGUUUAAAUAUCUGUUUGGUAUAUGUUUGCCUCUCCUUUUGCUCAUUUUAUUAUUUUUUUAUAAACAUGUAAAUAACAACAAAACUUAAAUUUUCAACUGUUUAUUGGCAUACUGAUUCUGUACAAUGCCAAACCACAACAAAAUGCUGAACUAUACCAAAUAGUGGUUUGUAAAACAACCUCAACAUAUAAUGCUUGUCCCACCCCAUAAAAACAGAAUCAAAUAGUGUCAAAUAACAGUCUAUUCAAGAACUAUUUGAAUGCCUUAUUUAAAAAAAAGGCUAAUCAGAGUGACAUACAAUCAGUUUGAAUUUGUGUUGGCAAUCACACCUCCCAUGUUAAUAUAUAGAGAUUUCAAUUUCAAUUAUUGCUAAAAGAUGAAAAGAAUGGCCAUUUAAAAAAGAUAGCCAGUAAUGUCUUUCAGGUAACCUUAUACCCAUGGACAGAUUGUCAUUCACUUUAAGAACUUUACUGGUGCUAAGAUAUGAUAUUUAUCUCUCAUAAUUCUUCAAUAGAUUGGUACAAAAUUCUUGAAAGCAGUUAACCAUUUGUUGUUUGUAAUACACAUUGAUUUGAAAAAGAUAAAAGUUCAAAAUAUUUCUAACAAUAUUAAAGAUAUAAUAUUUAAAGUAGCCUAAUUUUUCUGCUAUGCAAAGAAUAUAUGCUGCCUUAAGUAUAAAUUGAUGAAUAAUAGUUGAUAACAUUGAGAAAACUUUUAAAAUGCUCAAAUAACACAUUGUUAUGUUAUUUUGUGAUAUUUUGAACUAGAAUAUAAAAUGCUUAAGUGUCCCUGAUAAGUUUUCAGUGUUUAAAAUUGCAUUAUUUUAUUAAACAAAUAAUUAUCAUGGAAUUUGAAUGGUAAUUUAAUAUACAAUUAUACUUUCCUGAAUCAAACAAGGUUCAAUCAUGGCAUCAUGACUUUGUAGACUAUCUAACUUUUUAAAAACUUUUUUGAUUAUAAAGAUUGUUUUUUGUAUUUAUGAUUCAACUACAGCACCCUGCUUUACUAUUAAAUGAACUGAAACAUUCACAUAUAUUUGAUUUCAUGCUUCAUUACCUAUCGCCAUUAAAACUCUAAAAAUCAAUUAAAUUUUUAGGAAUAUUAGAAUUGAUUGUAUGUAUUUAUUUUUUGAUUUUAUAUAAUUUAACUUCAUACAGAACAAAUGAAUACCAAGUAAAAGAAAUACUGCUUUGUUUACUUUUAACAUACACCAUAUAACAUAUUGUAUAAAAAUGGAUAUGUUGUCAUAAUGUAGAUGAAAGUUUGUAAAUACUGUAUACCUAUAAUAUUCUUAGAUGUCAAUUGGUAUCUUACUGAAACACUGGAAAAACUGUUACCCAAGUUACAAAAAGUAACAUAUAUUGCUUAUAAAUUUGUGCACCUCUUAAAUAUCUACAAGUCUCAUGUACAACCAUCUAUAGUCAUGAGUGACCAAUGCCUUAAUUGUACUGAAAUGUAUGUCCUAGUGAAGCAGGACUAAAUUGAAAGAGCACUAAAUUUUGUUCUCAAAAAGGAAGAGUCAAGUAGUGUUCUUAAGUUUCUAAACACAAUCCAUUUUCAUCACUUGUCACUAUCAUCCGCUUGAAGUCCUUCCUAUUCAUACUUAAACAUGCUAUGGACUAUUAGAUGAUUGUACAUAAAACUUUUCAUCAGUUUAAAACAAUUGUUGUUACACGACAUAAGGAACAAGGCAUAUUCGUGUUAAGCAUUUUUCACAUUUAACAACAGUUAACACUGAACAACAAUGCACUCUAUGGUCUUUGAAAUUAUGCUAAAAGUUUACCCUAUAAUAAAAUGAAGACGCUUCAUCAAAAAAUAUAUAAUAAAAGUCACAUGCACUGUAACUGAUCAUAAAAUAGAAUGAUGUUAUAUUUAAAAAGAUCAAAGACAAUGUACUGCCAUAUUUAAAUUUCCUUUCAUCUUCUGUAUCUGAGAUCAUCAAAAAAUGCCAUGAAACAGUACUUUUGAGUUAUGAUGAAAAAUAAAAUAACUGGGUUUCCUUUCAACCAUUUAAAAUUAUUUUAAUAACAUUAUAAACAUAUGAUUGGCUAAUUAACUACAUUAUUACCCUGUUCAAAUGACUGUAUAAACUUUCUUAGUAGAAAGAGUUAAAAGUAAAUUAAAUAGGGAAUUAAAAUCGAUCAUUUUUUAUCCGAGUUAAAAUGGUUAAUUAAGACUAGAUCCAAAUAAUAUAUAUUGAGAAUUAACUGUUAAUUAAUAUAAUGUAGAAUCCAUUUUGGUUUCAAGGUAACUGUUUUAUCAUUUUGUUAGGUGAUGAAAUAAAAACGAUUCAAUUCAAAUUAACAACUUAAAAAAAUACUGUAAAAGCUGUCAGCAAAAAAAAUUUCUCUAACUAUAUUAUGAAUGAUGGACUUUAAAAUACUGAACUUGUUGAUUAUCUGUUUAAAAACGUAAUUAGUGGUAGCUAGCAGCAAAAGAUUAUGGACAAAAUAGAACUAAAAUUCAAUUUCAGCACAAUAAAGCACUUUUUGAUGCUGGUCUUGUUUUUCUUUUAUUAGAAAGUUAAAGCACAAUAGUAUCUAUAUAUACACAUUUAACAAGACUCAUUUGAUAUGUAGUUUUGAUAAAAACAAUAAUUUUAUCUAUUUCUUUAAACAACCCUAAAUAAAACAGCUUAUCACAUAAUAAAGUUGUGCAUUAAAAAAAUAUUUACCAAAUCACAUCUAACUACCAGAUCCAUCAUUUUCCUCAUUUCUUCACCUUAUGUUUCAUUGAAGUUGGCUGGAAUAUUGAGUUGUCCUUCCUAAGUAUACAGAUUUCAAUUUUUUUUUUUCAAAUUUGCAACUGUAUUACACAACAAAUGUCAAUUAUACAAAUUGAUUGAUCAACAUCAUGCUAGUUUUAAUUUAUCAAGUAUUAUAUUAAAUUUGAUAGAAAAUCUUACAGACCAGGAGUCUGUUUCACAAAAAAAAAACUUACAGUUAAGAUUGAUUGCAAGUCAUGAACAAUUAAGUAUACUUACAAUAAAUCUAAAUAAGUCUAAAGUUGAUUCGUGAAACCGAUUCCUGUACCUGAUGGCUUGACUUAAAUAUGCAACUUGUGAAAUGUAUAGAAUUGAGAAAAAUGUUGGACCUGGCAACCUAAUUUAAACUUGUAAGGGACUGAAUUUGCAUUAUACAUAUACAAUCUUACUGAUUAACUGAGCAAACAAAAAAACAUUAAUAUACAACAAAAUCAACCAAAAACUAACCAAGUUAAAAAAAAACACCAAAACAAAACUUGAGACUCUUGAUAAACUUAAAAUAUUACUAAUAUAUAUGGUCAAAUGUGCCACUUCAAGUCCAGGGAACACAAACAAACUGACUAACAGAUAAUUCUUAAAUGGCAUAUGAUAAUAUACAAAUGUUUUAAGAUUACAAACCAGAAGGCAGAUAUCACUAAUAGAACAAUUCAUAAAAACAUUUAUGAUAUAACAAAGGAGAGAAGAAAGAUUUUGUGUUAGUUUGGGAAUGCUACAUUUUUGUGAUUUCCUAUUCUAUCCCAUUAACAUGUGUUACGUUGGGGCCUAAACUGAUUUAAAAACCAGGAGUGAUUACUUGAAUUCAUUUACAAGGGAUGCGCAUUUAUGUUUAACUAAAAGAAGAGGUACUUGUUUUGAGUAAAAUUGAUAUUUUUCAUUAGGGAAAAAAACAAGAAAAAAAGAUUUUUGAUAUGAUUUGCCAUUCUAUUCUACUAUGUAAAUGUUUGGCACUCAGGAUAACAUUUAUUGCAAAGUGGUCCCUGUUAGACAAAUAACUGAUUAUGUAAAAGAACAAAUAUGCCUGUGCAUUUAAUUAAAGCUAACAAAAAAGUUACUAAAUGUUUCUUCUUUUCAAUUAAAGCUAAAACUAGACUUGAAAUGACACACUUUUAGCAUCCUAACUACUGACCUUGAACAAAAAUAAGACUGUUUUGAUUGGUUCCUCCCUGGUAAAACUAGCUCUGUCUGGGACAGACUACAAACGACACGGUCAACAAUACAUCCUACAUGUAUUCCUGAGAAAUUCCAGCAGCUAUCAUGCUCUUUGAUUCAUGAAUACUUUAAAAUGAUGUAGGCUUUACUUUUAUGAUAAAAAACAACGUUACACUUGAAAUAGAAAAGAGCACAGAACUAUAAUUGUGAGGGUUAUUAUGUAUCAAGCUUUUCAGAAAGAAAACCCCAGAGCUAUCACAUAAAAUUAAAUCUGUUUCAUGCUGAAUUAUUCUAAUAAUCUUACUUUAAACAUUUCUUUAAAACAAGAUUCUGGAAUGUUUAAAGAACAUAUCCAAAUCGAAAGUAAAAAUAUAUCACAUUUUUCUCAUUCAACUUAACCCAGUAAAUAUAUAUCACAUUGAAAAACACACUAAGGCACUUAAACAAAAAUUGUAUUCAAAACAAGAUUGUCACCAUUUUGAACUUUGUUAUAUAAAUAUUAACAUAAAAUUUGCAUAAUUGUAUUUUGAUUGCAUUCUAAAAUUAUUUAACAUUAAGUGAUUUUAAAAUCUAUUAGUCUGGUCUUUAAUUAGUCUCUGUUUCCCCUGGUAGAGGAUGCUCCUAUGGAUUUAAAAUUAAAUUCAUGAAUCAAAGAUCAUUACAGCUACUAUCCAUAUGUUACAAGAUUCCAUAAUUGUAUUUUUAGUUUGAAAUUUCAAACACAACACUCACGAUAUAUAUAAAGAGACUAAAUAUUUCCUAAAACAAAAAGUGUCAAAACAACCAUUUUUUUUAUCAUGUGCAUGUAAUUAGUCACAAAAAAAACAAGAUUAUAUAUAAUAAACAACAUCUUUUGAUUUUAACUCACACAAUAUCAACAAAAUUUAACAUUACAACUCCAUUUUUUAAAUGAUAAAUGUUUCACACUGCAAACAGAUACCAUAUUUAUUUACACACACAUAUAUAUAUACUUACAAGAUAUAUAUAUAACUGACAAACAUGUUAGCAAUUUUGAUCAAUGUCACAAAACAUUGACGCAUUAUGAACUUGAUAAAUUAUGAUAUGGGUUCUGAAAAAGAACCUGAUUGAUAUGAAAAGAGUUCCAAUGACUCUGAUAAAAAAUAUUAAAGUUCAAUAGAACUUUUUGAUUAUUCAAUGAAGGAUCUAAAAUUAACAACCAUAUGGCUUUUAUAAACAUGGACCACAACCUCUGAACUGAUACAGAAUGAUAUAAAUACAAGUGAAUCGGAUGAAAAAUAAAUAAUAUGGCUAUAACCAUUAUGAACAACCCUGACAAAAUAUACACAUAAUUUCAGUUCUUGUAAACUUUGACAUUCACGAUCCUUCCAGAAUUUAAACAAAAGGUUAAUUUAAAAUUAAUUGAAAAUUCAAUUCCCAUUUUCAGUCAAUUCUAAAAAAAAAAACGCAUGUUAAUAAAGCCCCCCCCCCAAAAAAAAUCUACAACAGUUGUUAAACACUAAAGAAUUUUCCAAUUAUUGCUGAGCAAUUAUCUAUAAGAUAAAUGAAGAAAAAAGCACAAUAUGUUUGAAGCUAAAUACCUGGUUAUGUUCAUUCUGAAUGAAAAAAUUUGAAAAGUUGUGAAAUGAUAAUCACUGCCUUUCUCACUUUUCUAUGAAGGACUACGCAGAUACACGAUUUCACAAAGACAUUUCUAAAAACUGAAGUUAGCUGCACUAUUUGAAAUGAAGGAUAAAAACAAAUAUUUACAUAAGUAUCACAACUGUAAAAAGUUUUUCUAAUUUUAAAAAUGCUUAAUAACAAGCACAAGAAACAAAUACAGACAUUUUACCUUUUCAUACUUGUAGAGAAACAUUAAAAGUAAAACACUAUCUUAAUCUGCCCUCUUGCUUCAUUUUUUUUUUAAAUAGAAUCAGACUUCUAAAAGAAUCGACUUGCUUCUAACACAAACUGAGUAUGUAACAUAAAAAAAUAUAACUUUGGUAUCAAAUUGCUUAAAAUUGUGAAAAAUUAAAUGGCACCGAUAAAUUUAUGACCUAAUGGUCACAUGAUAUAACUUAAUAUAUCGAUUAAAAAAAUAAAUAAAAACAAUCGUUUGAUUAUAACAUAAUCUUUGGUAUAUAAAAUAACACAUACAUUUAUUUUCUUGAUUACACAUAAGUAUUUUAGCCAUAUGGUUGAAAAUUUUUGUACACUCAUAUAAUUUCAUAAAUGCUGUAACAACUUUCAUAUACCACUUAAAAUUUCAUGAAUUUAAAUUUAUUAAACGACAGUAAAGCUUAUCACUAACAAAAAAAUAAAAUUAUGUAAACAUUAAAACAAUACUUAAACAGUACACAAACUUUUAAAACUUGAUACAAGAAAACUUUAAAACUUUAAGUGGUAUAUGAAGGAACCCUUUAUACAAAACAAAUACAAAAUCUAAUUGUCUUGAUUUUAAGUUAUUUCUGUAUGACGCAAACACUUUCAGACAGGAUGUGAAGGACAAAUGAAGACAUCACGUCACUGACAAAGGAAACACCACUGUGUCAU
rnacentral:lncRNA from 1 species